rnacentral:rRNA from 1 species
GGAGGUCCGAACCCACGAGCGUUGAAAAGCUCGGGGAUGACUUGUGGGUAGCGGUGAAAUUCCAAUCGAGCCCGGAGAUAGCUGGUUCUCCCCGAAAUAGCUUUAGGGCUAGCCUCAAGGUGAGAGAUACGGAGGUAGAGCACUGAAUGUCCUAGGGGGUAUUGCACCUACCGAAGACUAUCAAACUCCGAAUGCCGUCAUCUUAUACUUGGGAGUCAGACUGUGGGUGAUAAGAUUCAUAGUCGAAAGGGCAACAGCCCAGAUCGUCAGCUAAGGUCCCUAAAUGUAAGUUAAGUGGUAAAGGAUGUGGGAUUGCACAGACAACCAGGAUGUUGGCUUAGAAGCAGCCACUCAUUCAAAGAGUGCGUAAUAGCUCACUGGUCGAGUGAUCCUGCGCCGAAGAUUUCCGGGGCUAAAACUUACUACCGAAGCUACGGCAUCAGUAAUGAUGGGUAGGGGAGCUUCCCAUACGGGUUGAAGCAUGACCGUAAGGACAUGUGGACAGUAUGGGAGUGAGAAUGUUGGCAUGAGUAGCGAGAUGUGGGUGAGAAUCCCACAGGCCGUAAACCCAAGGUUUCCAGGGGAAGGUUCGUCCGCCCUGGGUUAGUCGGGACCGAAGCUGAGGCCGAAAGGCGUAGGUGAUGGACAACAGGUUGAUAUUCCUGUACUACCGAUAACCGUUUGAGAGAAGGGAUGACACAGUAGGAUAAGCUAAGCACACUGUUGGUUAUGUGUGCCCAAGCAUUGAGGCAGUCAAAGUAGGCAAAUCCGCUUUGAUAAUGCUGGGAUGUGAUGGGGAGCGAAAUUUAGUAGCGAAGUAGCUGAUUUCACACUGUCAAGAAAAGUCUCUAUCGAGGUUAAAGGUACCCGUACCGCAAACCGACACAGGUGGGUGAGGAGAGUAUCCUAAGGCCA